rnacentral:rRNA from 1 species
GACGAACGCUGGCGGCGUGCUUAACACAUGCAAGUCGAACGGAAAGGCCCUGCUUUUGUGGGGUGCUCGAGUGGCGAACGGGUGAGUAACACGUGAGUAACCUGCCCUUGACUUUGGGAUAACUUCAGGAAACUGGGGCUAAUACCGGAUAGGAGCUCCUGCUGCAUGGUGGGGGUUGGAAAGUUUCGGCGGUUGGGGAUGGACUCGCGGCUUAUCAGCUUGUUGGUGGGGUAGUGGCUUACCAAGGCUUUGACGGGUAGCCGGCCUGAGAGGGUGACCGGCCACAUUGGGACUGAGAUACGGCCCAGACUCCUACGGGAGGCAGCAGUGGGGAAUAUUGCACAAUGGGCGGAAGCCUGAUGCAGCAACGCCGCGUGCGGGAUGACGGCCUUCGGGUUGUAAACCGCUUUCGCCUGUGACGAAGCGUGAGUGACGGUAAUGGGUAAAGAACCACCGGCUAACUACGUG